AAGAAAAGAGAAAGAAAAACAAUCAACACCAGCAUAAAAACUGACAGGAUCAAUGCAGUGUCUGUUAAAAAUCUUUGUUUCUUUGCAUCUUUUUUCUUCGGAUCUAUCUUCUUCUUUCU
rnacentral:ribozyme from 14 species